UGACCUCGCCUCGUCGACACUUGGCCAGAGUUCCGUCUGGCCUCGUCGGCACUAGACGUAGAUAAAUACAUAGUAGAAACCCGCCACAAGUUAGCGGUACAAGUAUGAUUUAGACGAUGCCUUCUCAUGAGAAUAAAUCGACAGCCUCCCGGUGUUACUUGCGUUAACUCGGGCGUUACACCAAAUUUGGUCGCAACGACUUUUAUAUGUAGGAAUAAGACCAGGCAAGCGCCUCGUCGAUUAUUAAAUCUCGACCCACAAUUAGGCAAAUACAACCUCUUCGUCGUUGUAAGAAUAAUAGGGAGUAGGCCAAAAUGACCUCUCCACCGCC
rnacentral:lncRNA from 1 species